AACAUUAUUCAACCAACAAAUUUGCGGAUGGUAGCAGGGACACGUUCUCCCCUUUCCGCUCUCCUAGCUCUCCAUUUAUUCAUUCCAAAACCCUAACCAAACACUUUAGAACACAAACACAUGCAUUUUACCUCCACUCUCUACACUAACACACCAGCAAUGCAAUUCUUCAAACUUUACUCCUUCAAAAAGGCUGCUGUUAACUGUGAUUGCCAAUCCUUCCAGUUUGGCUUUGUUAGGUUUUUCGCCACCACUUGUAGGGCGGUGCUUCUGCCUCGCUUCGGCGGGCCUGAGGUGCUGGAGCUAUGUUCCGAUGUUGAGGUCCCCCAGCUUAAGCCCAAUCAAGUCCUUGUUCGAACUCGUGCUGUCUCUGUAAAUCCCCUUGAUACUAGAAUGCGAUCAGGUUAUGGCCGUUCCAUAUUUGAACCUCUGCUACCUCUCAUUUUGGGUCGUGAUAUUAGUGGUGAAGUUACAGCUGUUGGAACUAAAGUGCAUUCACUGAGUGUUGGGCAAGAAGUUUUUGGUGCAUUGCAUCCAACUGCUGUGAGAGGUACUUAUACUGACUAUGCAAUUCUUUCAGAAGAUGAGCUUACCCCAAAACCAGCAUCAGUUACACAUGUGGAAGCAAGUGCAAUUCCUUUUGCUGCGCUAACUGCAUGGCGUGCACUAAAAAGCACCGCUAGAAUAACUGAGGGGGUGUUGCGUACGGAGUCUCCAAGUCUUUCACACACCCCUAGUGCUCUUGUUAGUCGCAAUGAUAAUGGCAAACAGCAUAACAGACAUGGGCAUAGUGGAGGUUUUAAUGGUGGUAGAGGAUCUCAGCGACCUGGGGAAGCAGUUCCUACUUCUGACUCCGGUGGAAUCAUUUGUUAUUACUGCCGUGAACCUAGACAUACAAAGAAGACAUGCCAGAAACUUCAGAAUAAGAAUCAGCGCUCACAAAUGGUGCAUACGGCAGUUGAGGCCUCUUCUGAUCAGGGAAUUUUGAUAUCUGUAGAUGAGUAUACACAUUUCACCCAAUACCAGGUAUCUCUGAAAUCCUCUAACUCCUCUAUCACUGCAAUUGCUGAGUCAAGUAACUCUACUGCAUGUUUUGUGUCUUCAUCCUCCAAAUGGGCUAUUGAUUCUGGUGCUAUUGAUAAUAUGUCAGGUAAUUCUACCCUUUUGUCUACUCUUAAGUCUCAUGCAUCGUCUUCUAAUGUUACUCUUACUGAUGACACUAAAUCUUCUGUCAUGGAUUCUAGAUAUGUCAACUUAACCCCUUCCCUUUCUGUAUCCUCUGUGUUAUGUCUUCCUAAGUUCGCCUUUAAUUUGCUUUCCGUUAGUAAACUCACUCGUGCACUGAAUUAUUGUGUCUCAUUCUUUUCUGAUCAUUGUGUUUUUGAGGAUCGUUCAAGGAAGCAUAUUAUUGGUAGAGGGCGUCAGUCAGAGGAUCUUUACGUCUUGGAUCAGCAACUACCUAGAUCUCUUGCAUGUUCCACGCAUUUAACACCUUUUGAUGUUCAUUGUCAUUUGGGGCAUCCUUCUUUCUCGGCUUUGAAGAAGUUAUAUCCAUAGUUUCACUUUUUGUCUGUUUUAGAUCAUGAGUCUUGUCAAUUUGCCAAACAUCACCGUUUACCUACAGUGUCUUGAGUCAAUAAACGAGUUUUGUCUCCCUUUGAGUUAGUACAUUCCGAUGUUUUUGGUCCUUGCCCUAUUGUGUCUAAGUCUGGCUUUAAGUACUUUGUUACUUUUGUUGAUGAUUUCUCUCGCACUACUUAGUUAUUUUUAAUGAAGAGUCGUUCAGAAUUAUUCUUUAUCUUUUGUGCCUUUUAUGCUGAAAUCCAAACUCAAUUCAAUAUUUUCAUUCGAAUAUUGCAAAGUGAUAAUGCUAAAGAGUAUCUUUCUCUUUCUGGGGAAUUCCAAUCUUAUUUGUUACAAAAAGGGAUUCUUCAUCAGUCUUCUUGUAUUGACACUUCUUCAUAGAAUGGAGUUGUCGAAAGAAAAAAUCGAGAUCUUCUUGAAGUAGCCAGAGCCCUCUUAUUCCGAACGAAAGUACUUAAAUGCUUUUGGGCUGAUGCUGUAUCCACUGUUUAAUUUUUAUCAAUUGCAUGCUCUCCUCCGUCCUUCAUGGUGAUAUCCCUUAUAACAUGUUUUCCACUAAAUCUUUAUUUUCUAUUGAGUCACAUAUCUUUGGUUGGACUUGUUUUGUUUGUGAUGUUCGUCCACAGGUUACUAAAUUGAAUCCCAAAUCACUCAAAUGUGUCUUUCUUGGCUACUCUCAACGUCAAAAAGGACUAUUCCUGCAUCUUCCGCUCAUGUGCGAGGUCGCCCUCCCAUCUUUCAUGUUUAUUCUAGACGCUUAGAGGACUCUGACUUUGCUUUGCUACCCACUUCUUUGUCGACAGAUCCUGCUCCCACUAAUCCUUCAUCGUCUGGUUUGGAUUUCCCAUUGCUAUUCGCAAAGGUAAACGUACUUGCACUCGUCCUAUUUUGUCUUUUGUCUGUUAUGGUCAAUUAUCCUCUUGCCACUAUUUUAAAUUCUAUUUCAGUCCCCAAAACUGUUAUUAAGGCUUUAUCCCAUCUUGGUUGGCGUGUUGCAAUGGAAGAGGAAAUAAUGGCCCUAGACGCUAAUGGUACUUGGGAGUUGAUGUCUAUUGGGUGUAAAUGAGUGUUUGCAGUGAAAAUAAACCUUGAUGGAUCUGUUGCUCGUCUCAAGACCCGUUUGGCUAAAGGUUAUGCUCAAACUUAUGGAUUUGACUAUUCUGAUACAUUUUUUUCAGUUGCCAAGCUCGCAUCUGUUCGACUGUUUAUUUCCUUGGCAGCUACACACGAUUGGCCUUUACAUCAACUGGAUAUUAAAAAUGCUUUUUUCCAUAGUGAUCUUAAGGAGGAGGUUUAUAUUGAGCAACCACCUGGUUUUGUUGCUCAGAGGGAGUUAGGCAAGGUUUGUAGACUUCGAAAAUCCCUCUAUGGCUUGAAGCAAAGUCCUCGGGCAUGGUUUGACAGGUUUAGUGAGGUGGUCCAAUAGUUUGGAACGAAGAUGAGUAAGUGUGAUCACUCAGUGUUUUAUAGAAAUUCUGAUAGUGGAGUAAUUAUGCUUGUAGUAUAUGUGGAUGAUAUCGUUAUCACAGGAAGUGACGUUGCUGGCAUCACAUCCCUAAAAGAAUUUCUUAAAACACAGUUUCAUACAAAGGAUUUGGGCUAUUUGAAAUAUUUUUUUGGCAUCGAAGUUAUGUAGUGUAAGAAAUGUAUUUUCUUAUCUCAAAGAAAAUAUGUUCUUGAUUUGUUGGCAGAAACAGGAAAAUUGGGUGUUAAGCCUUGUAGUGCUCCAAUGAUCCCUAAUCUUCAACUUACCACAGAAGACAGUGAGCCAUUUACAGAUCCUGAAAUGUAUAGAAUAUUAGUUGGCAAGCUGAAUUAUUUGACGGUGACUCAUCCUGAUAUUGCAUAUUCGGUGAAUGUGGCAAGUCAGUUUAUGUCCUCUCCUACUGUUGCUCAAUGGGAUGCUCUGGGAUAGAUUCUUUGCUACUUGAAAAGGGGCCCAUGACGAGACCUCUUCUAUGGUAACCAUGGAUACUCAAAUAUUGAAUGCUUUUAUGAUGUUGAUUGGGUAGACUCGAAGGUUGAUAGGAGGUCAACUACUGGAUAUUGUAUUUUUGUAAGAGGUAAACUGGUCUCAUAGAAAAGUAAGAAGCAAAAUAUGGUAUCUCAUUCUAGUGCUGAAUCUAAAUAUAGAGCCAUGACACAAGCCGUAUGUGAAGUCUUGUGGGUGCGUCAACUGUUGGAAGAGGUUGGAUUCACAAAUUCGCUGCCUGCUAAGUUGUGGUGUGAUAAUCAAGCAGCUAUCCACAUUGCCUCCAAUCCAGUGUUUCUUUAGAGGACUAAACACAUCGAGAUUGACUGUCAAUUUGUUCGUGAGAAGGUCUCAACAGGACAUAUCCGAACUGGAGAACAACUAGGAGAUAUCUUCACUAAGACUCUAAAUGAGACUCGAGUUGAUUAUAUAUAUAACAAGUUGGGCAUGAUUAACAUCUAUGUUCCAACUUGAGGGGGAGUGUUAUAAGAAGUAAAUAUGUUAAUAUAGGAAGUAAAUAUCGAUAGAUGUGUUAAUUGCUUAAUUUUAGGGAUUGUAUGAUCUAGAUACGGUCUCUCAUGUAUAAAUAUAUUAGUAAUCUCUAUUGUAACAUAUAACAAAGAUUAUCUUUCUACUGGUUGGAAAGAGGAAACUUUGACAAUUGACAUAAGAUCUCACAUAUAAAGAAUUGUGAUGAUUGAUGCAAUGGACAGUUUCUUCAAUAAGGGUUCGAUUCAAUCCAUACAUUUCUUCAGGCCUGGUACCAAGUAGAUUGUAUAACACGACUGAUGCAGUAUAUACUUCUCAAAUAGAAGAAGUGAUUACAGAUUAGAAAAGGAAAAAAUUUGACAAUAUUUUGCAUAUAAAGAAUUGCUACUUGCUAGUAAUGAUUUAUGCAGUGGACAGCUGCCAAUUGAUAGAUGACUUUAUGACAUUUGGAAUGAUUUGCUUCAGCACUAUUUUUUUUUU